rnacentral:lncRNA from 1 species
UGUCACAGCCCACUAUCCCAAUGACGGGUUAACAGGGGUUAUGACUUGGGGUGAACAAUAAGAAAUGGAAAUGGACAAUUACUUAACAUUAAAGUAUAUGAAAAUAUCACUUAUAGAUAAAAAGCUAGGAUCAUAUAUGAUCAUUUGGAUACUUAUAAAACAUACACAUAAAAGAGAACUGAUUAAGGUGGGUUACCCAAUAACACGUGUAACAACUUCAUAACAUAGAGUUAUCCUAAUCAAAGUGUUUUGCAGCGGAAAACGUGUGAGAUAUACAUAUGAAGAUGUAUACUCAAGGUUACAUUUCUUGAAAUGUCAAAGGAACACCCGCUCAACAUCAUUCCAUUCCAUCAACUGCUCAACCUGCACAUUUAGAAAUACAUGCAGGGCUGAGUAUAA